GGAUGAUGGGUGUGUGUGUGCUGGAUGAUGGGUGUGUGAGUGCUGGAUGAUGGGUGUGUGAGUGCUGGAUGAUGGGUGUGUGUGUGCUGGAUGAUGGGUGUGUGCUGGAUGAUGGGUGUGUGUGUGUGCUGGAUGAUGGGUGUGUGUGUGUGCUGGAUGAUGGGUGUGUGAGUGCUGGAUGAUGUGUGUGUGUGUGCUGGAUGAUGUGUGUGUGUGUG